rnacentral:rRNA from 1 species
AACGAACGCUGGCGGCAUGCCUAACACAUGCAAGUCGAACGAGACCUUCGGGUCUAGUGGCGCACGGGUGCGUAACGCGUGGGAACCUGCCUUUAGGUUCGGAAUAACAGUGAGAAAUUACUGCUAAUACCGGAUAAUGUCUUCGGACCAAAGAUUUAUCGCCUUUAGAUGGGCCCGCGUAGGAUUAGCUAGUUGGUGGUGUAAAGGUCUACCAAGGCGACGAUCCUUAGCUGGUCUGAGAGGAUGAUCAGCCACACUGGGACUGAGACACGGCCCAGACUCCUACGGGAGGCAGCAGUGGGGAAUAUUGGACAAUGGGCGGAAGCCUGAUCCAGCCAUGCCGCGUGGGUGAAGAAGGCCCUAGGGUUGUAAACCCCUUUCAGCGGGGAAGAUAAUGACGGUACCCGCAGAAGAAGCCCCGGCUAACUCCGUGCCAGCCGCCGCCGUAA